UUUCGGACCAAAAACACCUGCAGAUUGAAAGUAUGGAUGGAGAACCAUGUAUGAUACUAAUGGUCAUCAAAAGAAACCUGGAGUAGCCAUACUUAUAUCAGACAAACUAGAUUUUAAAAUAAAGACUGGAA